GAUGAACGCUGGCGGCGUGCCUAAUACAUGCAAGUCGAGCGAACAGACGAGGAGCUUGCUCCUCUGACGUUAGCGGCGGACGGGUGAGUAACACGUGGAUAACCUACCUAUAAGACUGGGAUAACUUCGGGAAACCGGAGCUAAUACCGGAUAAUAUAUUGAACCGCAUGGUUCAAUAGUGAAAGACGGUUUUGCUGUCACUUAUAGAUGGAUCCGCGCCGCAUUAGCUAGUUGGGAAGGUAACGGCUUACCAAGGCAACGAUGCGUAGCCGACCUGAGAGGGUGAUCGGACACACUGGAACUGAGACACGGUCCAGACUCCUACGGGAGGCAGCAGUAGGGAAUCUUCCGCAAUGGGCGAAAGCUUGACGGAGCAACGCCGCGUGAGUGAUGAAGGUCUUCGGAUCGUAAAACUCUGUUAUUAGGGAAGAACAAAUGUGUAAGUAACUAUGCACGUCUUGACGGUACCUAAUCAGAAAGCCACGGCUAACUACGUG
rnacentral:rRNA from 1 species